GAUGAACGCUAGCGGCAGGCUUAAUACAUGCAAGUCGAGGGGCAGCAUGACUGUAGCAAUACAGUUGAUGGCGACCGGCAAACGGGUGCGGAACACGUACAGAACCUUCCUUCGAGCGGGGAGUAGCCCAGAGAAAUUUGGAUUAAUACCCCAUAGUAAAUUGAAAAGGCAUCUUUUUAAUUUUAAAGAUUUAUCACUUGAAGAUGGCUGUGCGGCUGAUUAGGUAGUUGGCGGGGUAACGGCCCACCAAGCCUGCGAUCAGUAACUGGUGUGAGAGCACGACCAGUCCCACGGGCACUGAGACACGGGCCCGACUCCUACGGGAGGCAGCAGUAAGGAAUAUUGGGCAAUGGACGAAAGUCUGACCCAGCCAUGCCGCGUGGAGGAUGAAGGUCCUCUGGAUUGUAAACUUUUUUUAUAAGGGACGAAAAAAGGUCUUUCUAGAUCGUCUGACGGUACCUUAUGAAUAAGCACCGGCUAACUCCGUGCCAGCAGCCGCGGUAAUAC
rnacentral:rRNA from 1 species